CGAAACCCCAACCGACACCCACCCAGUUUACCUACAGUCAGAACAAUAUUUCAAUCUUCUGAAACCAAAUGGCUGUCAAUCAAUUGAAUGAUGUCCGGGAGCAGUUUGUCAGCCUGGUGACAGAGGCUAAUAUCAAGGCUCUACUAGACAGACUUCAGCAUCCACAUGAAGGCAGAAGAUUUAUCAACAAGUUCGAGGCAGAAGAGGUGAUACAAAAAAAACCUGAGAGGGCCGACAAGGCACGUUCUCUUAUUGAUAUGGUGAUUAGUAAAGGUGAUGCUGCUUGCAAGAUGAUGUUAACCACAUGGCAUAAUCUAGACCCCUCCAGCCAGAUAUUGAACACACCGGCACAUGUCCUCACAAGCCAAAGGGCACUAGGAUCCUCCUCAUGGAUGCCUCCAUCUCAAGGUUCUCCUCCAGCAUCGUCUCGUGUCAUGGGUGCUGAAAGAACGGCAAAUGAAAUAAACUCUACAGUGAUUAAUUAUAACUACACUAUGCCUAUUCACCAAGCCCAACCAAACCUGAAGAGGAAGGCUGAAAGCAUUGGAAUUGGGACAGUUGGAAGCACUGUAAAUAACGCCAAGAAGCCCAAAAUUGAGGACCACCUUGAGAAAAACAUGAAGACCGCACCCAAGGCACCUGUACCCAAGAAGCCUGCUGCAGCGAAGAAGCCUAAAGUCAAGAAGCCUGCUGCAGCUAAGAAGCCUAAAGUCAAGAAGCCUGCUGCAGCUAAGAAGCCUAAAGUCAAGAAGCCUGCUGCAGCUAAGAAGCCUAAAGUCAAGAAGCCUGCUGCAGCUAAGAAGCCUAAAGUCAAGAAGCCUGCUGCAGAGAAGAAGCCUAAAGUCAAGAAGCCUGCUGCAGCGAAGAAGCCUAAAGUCAAGAAGCCUGCUGCAAAAAAAUAGUUAAAUAAAGAUAUAAAACAUAAGAGCACCAGGUGCAUAAGUUUUAGGCAUAUUGCCUUUAAAACAUUCAAAGCACCAUAUACAGUGGGGCAAAAAAAAGUAUUUAGUCAGCCACCAAUUGUGCAAGUUCUCCCACUUAAAAAGAUGAGAGAGGCCUAUAAUUUUCAUCAUAGGUACACUUCAACUAUGACAGACAAAAUGAGAAAAAAAAAUCCAGAAAAUCACAUUAUAGGAUUUUUAAUGAAUUUAUUUGCAAAUGAUGGUGGAAAAUAAGUAUUUGGUCAAUAACAAAAGUUUAUCUCAAUACUUUGUUAUUGUUGGCAAUGACAGAGGUCAAACAUUUUCUGUAAGUCUUCACAAGGUUUUCACACACUGUUGCUGGUAUUUUGGCCCAAUCCUCCAUGCAGAUCUCGCCUAGAGCAGUGAUGUUUUGGGGCUGUUGCUGGGCAACACGGACUUUCAACUCCCUCCAAAGAUUUUCUAUGGGGUUGAGAUCUGGAGACUGGCUAGGCCACUCCAGGACCUUGAAAUGCUUCUUACGAAGCCACUCCUUCAUUGCCCGGGCGGUGUGUUUGGGAUCAUUGUCAUGCUGAAAGACCCAGCCACGUUUCAUCUUCAAUGCUCUUGCUGAUGGAAGGAGGUUUUCACUCAAAAUCUCAAAAUCUGUUCCCUUUGCAGAAAAACAGCCCCAAAGCAUGAUGUUUCCACCCCCAUGCUUCACAGUAGGUAUGGUGUUCUUUGGAUGCAACUCAGCAUUCUUUGUCCUCCAAACACGACGAUUUGAGUUUUUACCAAAAAGUUAUAUUUUGGUUUCAUCUGACCAUAUGACAUUCUCCCAAUCUUCUUCUGGAUCAUCCAAAUGCUCUCUAGAAAACUUCAGAUGGGCCUGGACAUGUACUGGCUUAAGCAGGGGGACACGUCUGGCACUGCAUGAUUUGAGUCCCUGACGGCGUAGUGUGUUACUGAUGGUAGGCUUUGUUACUUUGAUCCCAGCUCUCUGCAGGUCAUUCACUAGGUCCCCCCGUGUGGUUCUGGGAUUUUUGCUCACCGUUCUUGUGAUAAUUUUGACCCCACGGGGUGAGAUCUUGCGUGGAGCCCCAGAUCGAGGGAGAUUAUCAGUGGUCUUGUAUGUCUUCCAUUUCCUAAUAAUUACUCCCACAGUUGAUUUCUUCAAACCAAGCUGCUUACCUACCAGAUUCAGUCUUCCCAGCCUGGUGCAGGUCUACAAUUUUGUUUCUGGUGUCCUUUGACAGCUCUUUGGUCUUGGCCAUAGUGGAGUUUUGAGUGUGACUGUUAGAGGUUGUGGACAGGUGUCUUUUAUACUGAUAACAAGUUCAAACAGGUGCCAUUAAUACAGGUAACGAGUGGAGGACAGAGGAGCCUCUUAAAGAAGAAGUUACAGGUCUGUGAGAGACAGAAAUCUUGCUUGUUUGUAGGUGACCAAAUACUUAUUUUCCACCAUAAUUUGCAAAUAAAUUCAUAAAAAAUCCUACAAUGUGAUUUUCUGGAUUUGUUUUCU
ensembl:lncRNA